GUGACAAGAACUAAGCAAAGCGGUGAAGUAUAGAAUGAGUUCGGCAGUUACCUAUCAGAGAUUAACAAAUGCAAUUUCGACAACGACGAAGAGAAAAAGAAAACCAGAUGCUCCGCCUUUCAGGGUAAACCAAGAAAUAACACACAGAGAUGAUGUAACUUUUUGGCUGAUACUUUGUCAAUAGGUUUCAUAAGAGAUGACAAGGAGACUUUUGAGACAUUUGAAUCUAUGGAGUUUGGACUACUCUUUUUCUAGAGGAACUGCUCAUUUACUUGCAAAGAUCUUGACUAUCAACAAACUCUAAGGGGUACAACUUGCUGUUAACAACCAUGCGUGGUGAUUUUACUGUGUUUCAUUUCCAGUCAAAUUAUCUGGCUUUGCUUUCAGUGCCAACGGGUGGGUUCAAUCCUAUGGAUCCCACUAUGUCAAACAAGCAAUUAUCUAUGGUGAUGUGAGUCGUCCCAAGCCAAUGACUGUUUUCUG